rnacentral:rRNA from 1 species
AGCCUGGCGGCGUGCUUACCAUGCAGUCGAACGAUGAACCUCACUUGUGGGGGGAUUAGUGGCGAACGGGUGAGUAACACGUGAGUAACCUGCCCUUAACUCUGGGAUAAGCCUUGGAAACGAGGUCUAAUACUGGAUAUUGACUUUACCUCGCAUGGGGUUUUGUUGAAAGAUUUAUUGGUUUUGGAUGGACUCGCGGCCUAUCAGCUUGUUGGUGAGGUAAUGGCUCACCAAGGCGACGACGGGUAGCCGGCCUGAGAGGGUGACCGGCCACACUGGGACUGAGACACGGCCCACACUCCUACCGGAGGCAGCAGUGGGGAAUAAUGUCCACUGUGGGAAAACCCUCAUUACGCGCCGCCCCCGUGAGGAGGAGAGGGCGCCUCUCCGUUGUAGAACUUCUUUCUAAAAGGAACAAAGGCCCAAAGUGUAGUAUCGUCUUGGGGGCACCUGUUAAACAAAACGGCCAGCUAACUAACUUGUCUUCCCAACCCGCUUUAAAUAUUUUAUGUGGACACGGGUUUAUACGGGAUAUCUUGGGGGGCUAAAAAGAUUAUUUAGGGGGGUUUUGUCGCCGCCUGCCGGGGGUACACCCCGAAGAUCUCCACCUCCUGGAUUAUCCCUUUUUUGCCCCUGCCACCACCAAGAAGGGGGUUGCUUUGGGGAGGACUAGUGGUAUCCCCGGCGGGUAGAAAGGCGGGAAAAAGUGCCCCCCUCACCCCCAGGGGGGCCACCACCCUGUUCCCCAUGGAAGAUCUCCUCGGGGGAUUUAUAAUUGCUCGCUUGCUGGGAGCCCCCAUAGCUUUUGUGGGCCGCCGAAACAAGGAAGUAAUAAUGACCCCCGCGGGGAGCCUCUGCGUUCGCCGAAAACAGGGGGGGGCCCCCCACUCAUGAUGGG